UACGUAGGUGGCAAGCGUUGUCCGGAUUUACUGGGCGUAAAGAGCGCGCAGGCGGUCGUUCAAGUCGCGUGUGAAAGCCCCCGGCUCAACUGGGGAGGGUCACGCGAUACUGAUCGACUCGAAGGCAGGAGAGGGUAGUGGAAUUCCCGGUGUAGUGGUGAAAUGCGUAGAUAUCGGGAGGAACACCAGUGGCGAAGGCAGCUCGCUGGGACGUUACUGACGCUGAGACGCGAAAGCGUGGGGAGCAAACAGG
rnacentral:rRNA from 1 species